AGAGUUUGAUCAUGGCUCAGAACGAACGCUGGCGGCGUGGAUAAGACAUGCAAGUCGAACGAGAUUUUUUCCUGUAGCAAUACAGGGAAAAGUCUAGUGGCGAACGGGUGCGUAACACGUGGGCAAUCUGCCUUAAAGUGGGGGAUAGCUCGGCGAAAGCCGAAUUAAUACCGCAUGUGAUCAGGGGAGACAUCUUCCCGAAAUCAAAAGUGGCGCAAGCUACUGCUUUUUGAGGAGCCCGCGGCCUAUCAGCUAGUUGGUGAGGUAAUGGCUCACCAAGGCUUUGACGGGUAGCUGGUCUGAGAGGACGACCAGUCACACUGGAACUGAGACACGGUCCAGACACCUACGGGUGGCAGCAGUCGAGAAUUUUUCUCAAUGGGGGCAACCCUGAAGGAGCGACGCCGCGUGGAGGAUGAAGGUCUUCGGGUUGUAAACUCCUGUCAUUUGGGAACAAGUGCCGGUACGUAACUGCUACCGGCUUGAUAGUACCAGAAGAGGAAGGGACGGCUAACUCUGUGUCAGCAGCCGCGGUAAUACAGAGGUCUCAAGCGUUGUUCGGAUUCAUUGGGCGUAAAGGGUGUGUAGGUGGCGCCGUAAGUCGGGUGUGAAAUUUCGGAGCUUAACUCCGAAACUGCAUUCGAUACUGCGGUGCUUGAGGACUGGAGAGGAGACUGGAAUUCAUGGUGUAGCAGUGAAAUGCGUAGAGAUCAUGAGGAAGACCAGUGGCGAAGGCGGGUCUCUGGACAGUUCCUGACACUGAGACACGAAGGCCAGGGGAGCAAACGGGAUUAGAUACCCUAGUAGUCC
rnacentral:rRNA from 1 species